GAGGAUUUCUUCUAAUUGGUAAGAUUUUUGCCUCCAAAGCAAAAGAUUUGGGUUCGAGUCCCGAAAUCCUCG
rnacentral:tRNA from 1 species